GUCCCCGUAGCUCAGCUGGAUAGAGUACUGGCCUCCGAAGCCAGGAGCGACAGUUCGAAUCUGUCCGGGGACGCCA
rnacentral:tRNA from 1 species